rnacentral:rRNA from 1 species
UGUAAGCGUAUACCAAAGUUGUUGCAGUUAAAACGCUCGUAGUCGGAAUUUGGCAGUUCCGGAUGUGUGCACGUCGUGUGCGCACUUCGCGGGGAUUGCUUUUGUGGUCUUGCGUAGGAUGAGGCACUUUUAUUAGUGAACGUCCUCACGCAACCACUUUUUACUGUGAGAAAAUCAGAGUGCUCAAAGCAGGCAUUUGCCGUGAAUGUAUUAGCAUGGAUUAAUAGAAUAGGACUUGGUUCUAUUUUGUUGGUUUGUUGGGACUGAGUAAUGAUUAAGAGGGACAGUUGGGGGCAUUUGUAUUUCGGUGCUAGAGGUGAAAUUCUUAGAUUACCGAAAGACAAACUGCUGCGAAAGCGUCUGCCAAGGAUGUUUUCAUUGA